rnacentral:lncRNA from 1 species
CUGUUACUUACGCAAAAAAUCCUUCGUAUAAUCAGAUCAUGUCAUACGAAGUAACUUUCGAAAGUAAACGUAACAGGUUUUACGAAAAAGUACCUUCCUUAUAGCAAAAACUAAGCUGUAUGAUCCGACAUUGGACGACCAAUCUAAACUUUAUUUCCUCGCACCACGAUCUAAAAGGUCUCAUUCUUUUGCCCUGCGACUCACUGGCAUUCGCUCUCAUUCCGCUUGGUCACAUCCGAGCAGGAAAUCACCCCGCAACUGACUCCGCACGGGCUCUGUAUCGAGCGUCUUAGGCUUUAUCUCC